rnacentral:tRNA from 1 species
GUCCCUAUCGUCUAGCCUGGCCCAGGACACCAGCCUUUCACGUUGGCGACGCGGGUUCAAAUCCCGCUGGGGACG